UUAUAUUUUGGUGUAUGAUGCACGUAAGUUUUUGAAACUUUUGGGAAUAGUUUAACUCUAUUAAAUAUAAU
rnacentral:tRNA from 1 species